CGGACGGGUGAGUAAUGUCUGGGAAACUGCCUGAUGGAGGGGGAUAACUGCUGGAAACGGUAGCUAAUACCGCAUAACGUCGCAAGACCAAAGAGGGGGACCUUCGGGCCUCUUGCCAUCGGAUGUGCCCAGAUGGGAUUAGCUAGUAGGUGGGGUAACGGCUCACCUAGGCGACGAUCCCUAGCUGGUCUGAGAGGAUGACCAGCCACACUGGAACUGAGACACGGUCCAG
rnacentral:rRNA from 1 species